AAGCCGGCAGUUGUCUGGUCCCGGUGGCAAAAUAUCAGGGACCCCGUCGUUGUCAUCGUCAUCGUCACACUCGUCACCCAGCCCAUCUUUGUCGGAGUCCAGCUGAGAGCUGUUGAUCACGAGUGGGCAAUUAUCCUUGGUAUCCUGGUGACCAUCGCCAUCACUACAGGGGAAGAGACACGAUCACACGAUAGUCUCCAACCAGGUCAUUGUCAACAUCAGACUGAAACAAGAGCAGAGAGUUAAGCACCAUUUUCUCACACAUGAAGUUCUCAGAUCCUUUAUUUAAGUGAAAGCACCAAUACAACAAUGUAUAAAUUUGCAUUUAAAGUCCUACUUAAGUAAAAGUGCAAAUGUAUUAUCCGUAAAAUGUUCUUAAAAAAGUAAAAGUACUGCAUAAAAAUGGCUCCCGUGAGUAAUUGAUAUUAUGGAUGCAUCAAUGUGCAAGCUGCAUUUUACUGUUGUAGCUGGUCGCGUUAAAGCUAGUUUUAACUAUACAGUUUGGUUGUUUUUUAAGUGAUAUGAAAAGUAGCUACUAAUUAAAGCUUCCCAAAAAAUGUAGCGGUGUAAGAAGUAUAUUAUUUUCCCCCAAAGUUAGCAUAAAAUGGAAAUUAAUUACAAGUAUUUGAGUAAAUGUACACUACUUUCCUCCAACUAUCUUGCUAUGACUGACCUGGUUUGGGUUGGGGAUGUCGGGGCAGCUGUCGCAGGCAUCUCCCACUCCGUCUCCAUCCCGGUCCAGCUGGUCUGUGUUCUUGACACGCUGACAGUUGUCCAGAAAGUUGUUCAGGCCUGCUCGCCAAAUUAACAAGAAGAGAUGGCGUCCCCUUUGCCAUCGCUGUCAGUAUCCCUCUGGUCAGGAUUCUCCACCAUGCGGCAGUUAUCACAGGCAUCUCCGUGGCUGUCCUUAUCGCUGUUCCUCUGGUCCACGUUGGGCUUUAACCAGCAGUUAUCCUGAGACAGACAGAGAACACAAAGGUCUCAUUCACAGCAUGUGUAUUUUUGUGGGUGCACUUGUGUCAGUGGACAAACUUGUGUGCAUGUGUUUGGGUGAUGGUGUAAAGUAUGUGCGUCUGUGUGCUUCAGAGCUGAAACAAUUAGUUGAUUAACCAAUUAGUCGAUCAACAAAAAACUGUUUUGAUGAUCAAAGUAUUGUUUAAAGUUGAAAAAUUUUGCUGAGAGUUAAAUGAAAAGACUGUUACCACUGUAAAUAUGAAGUUACUGCAAGUAACCAUUUAGCUAGCCUGGAUCUGUUCAAAGGUAACAAAAUCCGCCUUCCAGCACCCAUAAAGCUCUCAGCAAAAUGGCAGAUAAGCAUGCUUACCAAAAUGUCAAACUAUUCCUUUAAGCCAUUCUCUCCAUUUUCUUGUUCCAGCUGCUUAAUAUUGAAAUGAUGUGCUGCGUUA